AACGUACGCUGGCGGCACGCCUAAUACAUGCAAGUCGAACGAGAAAGUUUCCUUCGGGGAAUUAGUAAAGUGGCGCAAGGGUGAGUAUCACGUGAAUAAUCUGCCCUCGAGAUCGGGAUAACAUGGUGAAAACUAUGCUAAUACCGGAUAAGACCACAUUUCAAAAGAAAUGUGGGAAAAGGAGUCUCAACCUUUACUUGAGGAUGAGUUCGCGCAACAUUAGCUUGUUGGUGAGAUAAAAGACUCACCAAGGCUACGAUGUUUAGCCGGCCUGAGAGGGUGAACGGCCACACUGGAACUGAGACACGGUCCAGACUCCUACGGGAGGCAGCAGUGGGGAAUAUUGCGCAAUGGGCGAAAGCCUGACGCAGCAACGCCGUGUGAGCGAUG
rnacentral:rRNA from 1 species